rnacentral:lncRNA from 1 species
UUCACUUUAACAACAGUCUUUAUUGAACACCAAAUCCAAUGAAGCAGCAGAGUAUAGCAGGUGGAUAUGGCAGGAUUCGAACUCGGGUCUUCCGGGUGAUAGGCGAGCAGAUUAGCAGUGGACCACAGGUCAGGAAAGAGUUUUGGACUCGUGAGCAGGGAAUUGUCCACAGUCUUAAUUUGCUCCACGAGUGUAGUGAAGGGGAAAAUGCUCAACUCACAGCUGGAGGAAGAUUUCUUGGAGAGUGGUUCAGGUGAGGACUGGGUGAGGAUCCAGAGCUUGCAGAGGAGCUGGCAGAACCAACGUCGGCAGAGGAGGUGAGUUGGCGAGGUGAAGCUGACGAGAAGGGGGAUCUCAACAGAGCAGGAACAGGCUGAGUGCCAUUCAGCCGCAGGCAGACGAAUAGCAGGAAACAGGCAGGCAAAGCUCGUAGUCAAGGACAGAAGGCAGGCAGGUUUACCGGGGCUGAGGCGAGAAGCAAAGGUCAGGGGCAGAUCAGGUCGAUACCAGGUAAGCAGUCCGGGAAUUAACGCUGGAGAGUCAGGCAUGAGAGCGAAGACAAUCUGGCAAAGAGUGAGGGGAAAGAAGCUGCAUAUAUACUGGCCUGAUUGGAGAUGAUGAGCAGGUGAGAGCAGCAGGUGGAAGCAGUUAGCUGAUGAGGGGUGUGGCUGAGCAGCAGAGCAGGAGAGGGGCAGAGCAGACUGUUACAGUUACAGGGGCAGAUAAAGAGGGCAAAGUUCUUCUGAUCACUCAUGAAUUAGACUUAGAAGAUAAAAUCACCCUCAAAGACAUAGUCUCAAUGCAAGAAGCGGCCUCUGAAAUAGACAAACAUCUCCUUAUAUUUAUCUCUAUACAAUAGACACACUCAAGGAUGAGAGUGAAGAUGAUGAGCAGCCGAAAGAAGAAGAGAAGAUGAGAACAGCAGCAAAGAUGGUGAACAUGGACAAGAGUUUCCGGGCAUGAAGGUACACUGACUGCAUCCUUUGUUCUUUUCUUUCAGAAUGUAAUCACUUCUUAAAGAUUGGUCUCUACAUACUUUGGUGGAUAUCUGUUAAAGGAUAUUGUAUUUUAAUAUUUUUGUCUUUUCAUUAUAGUUUAACAAGUGUAAGAGUGGCCUCCUAACACAGCAGUUAUCCAGCUGGUGACUGAAAAGGACAGAAGAAACUCUGGAAGGAGAGCAGCCAUGUUGACACGGAGGCUGCACCACAUUUUGCACAUGCAAAUAAAUUAUGAC